GAGAGUACACUGAUAGUCCUUGGACAAUUUGCCAUUAUUCUUUUGCUUUGUACUAGCAUAUGAAAGAAAGUAAUCCCUGUGUUUUUUAUCUGUCUCUGUAGCAGCCAAAUUGAAUUGGGGAAUGCAUCU
rnacentral:snoRNA from 1 species